rnacentral:misc_RNA from 1 species
AUGUCGGGCCGACCCUCGACUAUACGGUGGUGUUCCUGAACCCGGCUUUCGUGGGUGAGCGCCUUCAAAAUGCAAUCACGAAUCCCACAGUGGCUUUUGAGCACGACGGAUUGACCCGCGGCCUCGCCGAACUCUGCCGUGAGGCAGCCUCGCCGGAUAACGUUUUCAACCUCAUGGCGGAGGGAUGGUCGAUUCAGGCGCUGGCCCACAUUUCCCGGGUCAGCGAAAGAAGUCAG